CCUACGGGAGGCAGCAGUAGGGAAUCUUUCACAAUGGGCGAAAGCCUGAUGGAGCAACGCCGCGUGCAGGAUGAAGGCCUUCGGGUUGUAAACUGCUUUUAUAAGCGAGAAAGAUGAUGGUAACUUAUGAAUAAGGAUCGGCUAACUACGGGCCAGCAGCCGCGGUCAUACGUAGGAUCCGAGCAUUAUCCGGAGUGACUGGGUGUAAAGAGUUGCGUAGGUGGCAUAAUAAGUAGCUAGUGAAAUCUGGUGGCUCAACCAUUCAGACUAUUAGCUAAACUGUUAAGCUUGAGUCCGUUAGGGGUAACUGGAAUUCCUAGUGUAGGAGUGAAAUCCGUAGAUAUUAGAAGGAACACCGAUAGCGUAGGCAGGUUGCUGGGACGGUUCUGACACUAAGGCACGAAAGCGUAGGGAGCAAACGGGAUUAGAUACCCGGGUAGUC
rnacentral:rRNA from 1 species